GUCCCUGAGGCGUGGCAAAGCAGGACCCCUUCGUGGCAGUGCGUCGGUGUCGCGACUCCACCCUGACGUCUCCAGGAGCUCGAGAGGGAUGGUCUCCGGACGCCAGGAGUCGCGGAGGGCCGACCAGGAUGAAGAAACUUCAGGCGGAGUCCCAGGAGAGCAGCGCGGGAUCCCAGCCUCAGCCUGCCCAGACGGAUCAAGACGGUCUCACCACACCCAAGGAUAGUAUUUAAAAAAGCAUCAGCGGAGCUCAUUGUUCUUCUGCAGGAGAGGUGCAGACCGACCUCCAAGAAGAUGGUUCUAACUCCUCCCGCCCUCUCUUCCCAUUGAGAAAUGGAGCCCCACCGCGACACAGGCUUGGAGAAGAAGUCGAGAACGGGAUGUGGCAAGGAUCUCUGUCACUCCAACGCUGGCCUUUCUGGCCAAGUCACCCGUUUGGCACUCCUUCCCGGAAGCCCAUGGCGGUGGCAUUGUGCUGUAUCCCGCCUGGGCUCUGACCUCUACACUGUCCUCCCUCUUGCUCUGUCUGCCAUGUUUCUGACGGGCCUGGAUGCUUCUUGGUCUGGCUCAGUGUCUUCCACAGAGAACACUUUUGAGUCCAUCAGGGAGAAACUGUGUGGAAAUCCAUUUCGUGAAUGUUGUCAUCAUAAAUCAUCAAAAUGUCAUCUGAUAGAACAUAUUUUUCUAAGUUAAUUUACUUAUGAGACAUUUACAAGGGUAUAGAAUAAUGUACUCA
rnacentral:lncRNA from 1 species